GUGAUUUUGCGAUACAACCCAGAAGAAGCGAUGAGCUUGCGAACUUAUGGAGAACUACCUGAAGAUGGUAUGUCUUGAUUAUAAAUACCACUAGUUACUUUUAUAACAUGUUUUUAUGUCUUCAUUAUUUUCAUGAAAGCAAAUGUUUGUUUCAAGACAAUCCCGACCAAUUUUGAAGUAUUUAAUUUUGCACUACAAUGCGGGGGGGGGGGGGGGGGGNNNNNNNNNNNNNNNNNNNNGGGGCACAGGUCACAAGCUUUCUGAAAGUAAUCUAAAACCAUUUCUUUCAUCAAAACAAUUACUUUUCACUGAUAAAAACAUGUUUUGAAAAAUUUUGCAAAAAUGCAAAGGGGAGACCACAUAGGAAUUUUUUAAAAAAUUAAAAAGUGCUCCAAACUAUUCCAAACUUUCUGAAAAUUGUCGAUAACCAUUUGUCUUAUGGUGUCUUGUCUUGGUGCUUCCCUCUUUCUUAUAGUCCAAUCAGAGGCUUUGUUUACAAAACUUUUGUGAAUUUCAACUUGCAAUUUGUUCGUGUCGGUUGCAAAUUGCUCGGAGCAAUCUGCCUAUCAAAAUUGCAAUAUUGUGGGACAAUAUUGCAAUGUUGCUUGCAAGAGAACAUCUGGUUUGACUGUACAUGUAAAAGGCUGUUUUUGAAUUCAGAUAAUAUAUGGAGUAUCUUGUUAAUUUGUUGCAGUGAAAAUUGACGACACGGUUGAGUGUCAAGAUGAUGUUGAAUUUGGUUUUGACGAGGAUGAAGACGAAGGAGAUGAUGAAACAUGAAAGGUAUAUCACAGCUUUCUCCCAGUUGUCUCUCUUUGCUAGUGUGCAGCAUCUAGGGUGAGGUGGUUAAUUGAUAGACCGGAAAUUUUGUUUUUCAAAAACAAUGUUGUUCUAGGCAAAAACAGGAAAAACUAUUCAGAAAAAAAAUGUUUGAAACUCUGUUUUCAAAUGGCAUUUUAAUGGCAACUUGUCAAAAUCACGGCACUAGUUCAACUUUUUUGUAAGGAAACUUCAACUUUCAAGCAUUAAAAACUGGUAAAAUAAUAAGUUGGUAUUUUAGGGUGCAUAUGCAGCUUACUGAAUUUAAAAUGUGCAUGUUUUCUUUUGCACAGAUGAAAUUUUGAACACUAUUCAAGAAUACAAAAUUGUACUGUGUAAGUAUGUUAUCCAGAUAGGGGUCAAUGCUCAAGAUUUUGGAUAAAAUAACACUGCAUGUAUAAAUGUCAAUGAACUAUUUCCUGAGAAAACAGUUGUAUUGGUUAUAAUCACUGAUGUUAUGCAUCAAACAUUGCCUAUUUUAUAUGUAGGUAUAGUAUACUCUGAUAUUUCAUGGGCCUCUCACAGUAGUUUACUGUCAAAAAUAAAUUUAGCCCAUUGUCUUGCUGAUAUUUUUCAUGUUUAUUUGACUUUAAAAUUUUAAGUUGAAUUUUAUUAGAAGAUGUUUUGUGGCGAGAAGCACUCAAAAGAUAUAUUUAGUUGUUGGAAAAGGGUAGUUUUGUUAGAUGGAAUUUUGGCAAAUGGAAUUUUCAGCAAAGGUUUAUGCACAAUUGUCAGUAACCAGCAAGGGCGGAUUUUCAUUUAUUUAAAAGGAGGGGUAGAAAAAUUUCUGGUGGGGUGCAAGCAAAAACUACUGAGUGAGCUUCAACAGGGGUUAUGCGUUUGGGUUAAAGCCUUUCACACAAAAUAGGAGGGAUGAAGCGAAAUUUUGGUGGGGUUGAACAUUUUAUUAGAACGGUAGAGAGAUUCUAGGAGGGGUUUAACCCCCAGUAAAUCUGCCCAUGGUAACCAGGAACAGUUGCUAAACUCAUGAUGGUUAGGUCUGAAAAUUGUAUUGAAAUCUUUCGUUCAAAAUUCUAUCUGCCCAAAACCCAUCAACGAUUUGUUCAAUUGAGCAAGAUGCCCCAAAUCUUGUUUUUGUUAGAUGCUAGUGUAUGCUAAGUCUGGUUAAAUAUUUUAGAAUGAAAAUUUAAGUGCAUGGUCAUGUCUUUAUGGGGGCAUGCAUCAAGUAACAUGCUGGUAUAUAUAAAUGGCAGGAAUGAUCCUGUCAUUUAUGUAUACCAGGGGCCAGUUGUAUAAAAAAGUGAUCAAAGUUAACUAUGAUGAAGUGGAAACGUCAUCCAAUAAGAAGCGCCUAUUUGAGAGUUAAUCACUAUUUAACUACAAAAUAGUGAUUAAUUAAUUAAAAAAGGGAUUAAGAGUUUUAUACAACCGGCGCCCCUUUAUGGCAAAGUGCUUAAAUUUUCAUUCUAAAAUAUUUAAUUAUAAAACACUUAAUAACAUAGUUUGUUACUUCCAAGUUGUGGGCAAAUGGUACUGCCUAGCUAGACACUUCGAAAAGCUUCACUCUGUUGUACACUGUGAUCAAAUUAUUGACCAAAAAACUUUGAUAGUGUUGACCAGUACCAUUAGGUUGUUCCAGAAAAGAUCCACCCUGUAAACCACAGAGGAAAUUUCUGCCAUGCAAGUGGGGGUGGUGGUGGUGGGGAAUUUGCAUCUGAUAAUAGUAAGUGUACGAGGACAUCUGAAGUGGGUAGGGGGUUCCUUCCGAUUUCCUCUGUGGGUGAGGAAUGGAUGUUUUCUGGAAUGACCAUUAAGAUAUUUAGUUGUAGGUGUGACCACUAAUAAACAUAAUUUUGUUUGUGGGAAAGGAAAUUUCAAUU
rnacentral:lncRNA from 1 species